UACAGCCAUCAUACAGGCUGUGAGUCAAAGAUCUCAGCUCUGGCAGUUGCCACUCUACAGUGUCGCUCUCCACAUAGUUUAAAAAAAAAAAAUUAAAGGAAAGAGUUAGAGAUAUUUUGAUAAUAACAGAAUGGCUUUGAAUACUUUUUACAAAGUACUGAUUGGUGUUAUUGCAGCUGCUGUAGUAUUGGGAGGUGGUCUUGCAAUAUAUUUCACUGUCAGUCAAAAUGAUGUAUCAUCUGGUAAGAUUUCUAUUUGUAUGAGAUAUGGG
rnacentral:lncRNA from 1 species